rnacentral:rRNA from 1 species
UAGGGAAUAUUAGUAAUGGGCGAAAGCCUGAACUAGCAACGCCGCGUGUGCGAAGAAGGCCUUCGGGUUGUAAAGCACUUUUUGAGAGGAUGAGGAAGGACGGUACUCUCAGAAUAAGUCUCGGCUAACUACGUGCCAGCAGCCGCGGUAACACGUAGGAGGCAAACGUUAUCCGGAUUUACUGGGCGUAAAGCGCGUGUAGGUGGUUUGGUAAGUAGGGCGUGAAAGCUCCUGGCUCAACUGGGAGAGGCCGUUCUAAACUGCCGAACUAGAGGAUGGUAGAGGGAGGUGGAAUUCCGGGUGUAGCGGUGGAAUGCGCAGAUAUCCGGAGGAACACGUGUGGCGAAAGCGGCCUCCUGGACCAUUCCUGACACUCAGACGCGAAAGCUAGGGU